GAUGAACGCUAGCGGCAGGCUUAAUACAUGCAAGUCGUGGGGCAGCAGUCCCGUAGCAAUACGGGAGCUGGCGACCGGCAAACGGGUGCGUAACACGUACGCAACUUUCCCAUUACUGGGGGAUAGCCCAGGGGAAACUUGGAUUAAUACCCCAUAUUAUAUGGAUCAGGCAUCUGGUUCAUAUCAAAGCUUCGGCGGUAAUGGAUGGGCGUGCGGCUGAUUAGGUAGUUGGCGGGGUAACGGCCCACCAAGCCUACGAUCAGUAGCUGAUGUGAGAGCAUGAUCAGCCACACGGGCACUGAGACACGGGCCCGACUCCUACGGGUGGCAG
rnacentral:rRNA from 1 species